rnacentral:rRNA from 1 species
GUGCCAGCAGCCGCGGUAAGACAGAGGUGCCGAGCGUUAGGCGGAAUCACUGGGCUUAAAGCGUGUGUAGGCGGGCGGGCAAGUACCUUGUGAAAUCCCACGGCUCAACCGUGGAACGGCUGGGUAUACUGCCUGUCUUGAGCCAACUAGGGGCGAGCGGAACAGACGGUGGAGCGGUGAAAUGCGUAGAUAUCGUCUGGAACGCCAAAGGUGAAAACAGCUCGCUGGGGUUGUGCUGACGCUGAGACACGAAAGCCAGGGGAGCGAACGGGAUUAGAAACCCCCGUAGUCC